ACCAGGCCUGCAGGGGACGGAACCUUCCAGAAGUGGGUGGCUGUAGUGGUGCCUUCCGGAGAGGAGCAGAGAUACAUGUGCCAUGUGCAGCAUGAGGGGCUGCCAGAGCCCCUCACCCUGAGAUGGGAGCCGUCUUCUCAGCCCACCAUCCCCAUCGUGGGCAUCGUUGCUGGCCUGUUUCUCCUUGGAGCUGUGGUCACUGGAGCUGUGGUUGCUGCUGCGAUGU
rnacentral:lncRNA from 1 species